rnacentral:rRNA from 1 species
UACAGAGGUCUCAAGCGUUGUUCGGAUUCAUUGGGCGUAAAGGGUGCGUAGGCGGCGCGGUAAGUCGGGUGUGAAAUCUCGGGGCUUAACUCCGAAACUGCAUUCGAUACUGCCGUGCUUGAGGACUGGGAGAGGAGACUGGAAUUUACGGUGUAGCGGUGAAAUGCGUAGAUAUCGUAAGGAAGACCAGUGGCGAAGGCGGGUCUCGUGGACAGUUCCAUGACGCUGAGG